rnacentral:rRNA from 1 species
UUCCUACGGGGGGCAGCAGUGGGGAAUAUUGGACAAUGGGCGCAAGCCUGAUCCAGCCAUGCCGCGUGUGUGAAGAAGGCCUUCGGGUUGUAAAGCACUUUCAGCGAGGAGGAAAGGGGUGUUGCUAAUAUCAGCGCCCUGUGACGUUACUCGCAGAAGAAGCACCGGCUAACUCCGUGCCAGCAGCCGCGGUAAUACGGAGGGUGCAAGCGUUAAUCGGAAUUACUGGGCGUAAAGCGUGCGUAGGCGGCCUUUUAAGUUGGAUGUGAAAGCCCCGGGCUUAACCUGGGAACGGCAUCCAAAACUGAGAGGCUCGAGUGCGGAAGAGGAGUGUGGAAUUUCCUGUG